CGAAAGGGGUUGUAAAACGGGAUGAGACCACGUGCACCACGGUGCACGUGAUCAAAGUCGUGGGAUCCUUCGGGACCACGAGCCUCGGGAGCGGACUAGCUCCGAUUAGCUUGUUGGUGGGGUCCGGNCUACCAAGGCGAUGAUCGGUAGCCGGCCUGAGAGGGUGUUCGGCCACACUGGGACUGAGACACUGCCCAGACUCCUACGGGAGGCUGCAGUCGCGAAUCUUCCACAAUGGGCGCAAGCCUGAUGGAGCCACGCCGCGUGCAGGACGAAGGCUUUAGGGUUGUAAAACUGCUGUCGAGAUGGGGGAAGGGCGUACGGUGAAUAGUCGUGCGCUUGACUGCCAUCUGAAGGAAGCACCGGCUAAACACGUGCCAGCAGCCGCGGUAAUACGUGUGGUGCAAGCGUUGUUCGGAAUUACUGGGCAUAAAGGGUGCGUAGGCGGCCCGUUAAGUCAGGGGUGAAAGCCGUUGGCCCAACCAACGAAUUGCCUCUGAUACUGAUGGGCUCGAGUGUGCUAGGGGUGAGCGGAACGAGUGGUGUAGCGGUGAAAUGCGUAGAUAUCACUCGGAAGGCCGGAGCCGAAGGGGGCUCACUGGGGCACAACUGACGCUGAUGCACGAAAGCGUGGGGAGCAAACCGGAUUAGAUACCCUGGUAGUCCACGCCGUAAACGUUGAGCACUAGGUG
rnacentral:rRNA from 1 species